GAUGAACGCUGGCGGCGUGCCUAAUACAUGCAAGUCGAGCGAACGGACGAGAAGCUUGCUUCUCUGAUGUUAGCGGCGGACGGGUGAGUAACACGUGGAUAACCUACCUAUAAUACUGGGAUAACUUCGGGAAACCGGAGCUAAUACCGGAUGAUAUUUUGAACCGCAUGGUUCAAAAGUGAAAGACGGUCUUGCUGUCACUUAUAGAUGGAUCCGCGCUGCAUUAGCUAGUUGGUAAGGUAACGGCUUACCAAGGCAACGAUGCAUAGCCGACCUGAGAGGGUGAUCGGCCACACUGGAACUGAGACACGGUCCAGACUCCUACGGGAGGCAGCAGUAGGGAAUCUUCCGCAAUGGGCGAAAGCCUGACGGAGCAACGCCGUGUGAGUGAUGAAGGUCUUCGGAUCGUAAAACUCUGUUAUUAGGGAAGAACAUAUGUGUAAGUAACUGUGCACAUCUUGACGGUACCUAAUCAGAAAGCCACGGCUAACUACGUG
rnacentral:rRNA from 1 species